rnacentral:rRNA from 1 species
GACGGAGGAUGCUAGUGUUAUCCGGAAUCACUGGGCGUAAAGCGUCUGUAGGUGGUCAAGUAAGUCAACUGUUAAAUCUUGAGGCUCAACCUCAAAAUCGCAGUCGAAACUAUUCGACUAGAGUAUAGUAGGGGUAAAGGGAAUUUCCAGUGGAGCGGUGAAAUGCGUAGAGAUUGGAAAGAACACCGAUGGCGAAGGCACUUUACUGGGCUAUUACUAACACUGAGAGACGAAAGCUAGGGUAGCAAAUGGG